ACGAAACCCUAAGGUUUUUCAUUUGUGUGUGUGUGUUAUGAAGAGUAAUAAUCAUGCGGAACAAGGGACCAGUCUGGAAAUGGAUCCUCUUCCGACCUCAGGGGGAGACAACCACUAUGAAGCACCAAUGAGCCCAGCCAAGGUCUAAUGUGCAUUUACAUUCAUUCAUUUCCAACAUGCUUUAAGUCAUUCAUUACCGAUGUCUAAUUCUACAGUAAUGUUCAAACAGGCAUCUUCAACAAGCGACGUGAAUAAUGAGUAAGGUGAAGACACAGAUCCUGUAAGAUCAAUGUGUAUUUUACUGUGAUGAGAUGCUAGCAUCUGGUUGGUUUGUUUACUGUACAUAGCAGCAACAAAACAACCCUGUUGAUAAUGUGUAUUGUUAGGAUCAUACUCCUGAAAACCUCAGCAAAAAGUGCACCUUCUUCAUAUUCGCAAAACACAUAAAUAGGUGUAUGGCUUCAUCAUUUCAGUUGUACUGGAAUUACAGAAUAUAUUUCUGUGGUUAAAAAUCAAUACUCUUUUCAUUUCAGUUAGUGUUGAUUUUCAUUCUCAUUGAAUUCAGAGUUCUGUAUUCAUUUACAGUGACCAUAAUUACUGUCAGGCAGCACUUCUGUCUGUGCAGUGUAUUUAACUAAUCAGUUAUAAAAACAUAAAUGCUGGCCUCAGGUCUGAAAUGCAUCUUUGCUUUACAUUGGUGAUUGUAUUACAUUACUGGAGUGCAAUUAAUGCUGUUGCUGUCCACGGUUGGACCGACUUAUUUUAGGUAUG
rnacentral:lncRNA from 1 species